rnacentral:lncRNA from 12 species
CUCCUUACAGGCAAAGAGUGAGGACACUUUUGUUCCCAAGGAAGAAAGGGGAAGCCCCAUAUUGUGGUUUGGGAACUGCAGAUAUUGGGAAGGUCCCUUCCAGGACUUGAUUUGAUGCUUAAAGAAUAAGAUAGUGAAGGAUGAGCCAAGAGAU